UCCUCCCUCUUUCUUCGUGCUUAACACAUGCAAGUCGAACGGUGAAGGGACCGGUUUUUGCUGGCUCUGGAUGAGUGGCGAACGGGUGAGUAACACGUGAGUAACCUGCCCCCUUCUUCUGGAUAACCGCAUGAAAGUGUGGCUAAUACGGGAUAUUCUGCGCCUGCUGCAUGGUGGGUGUGGGAAAGAUAUUGUUUCGGUGGGGGAUGGGCUCGCGGCCUAUCAGCUUGUUGGUGGGGUGAUGGCCUACCAAGGCGGUGACGGGUAGCCGGCCUGAGAGGGUGGACGGUCACACUGGGACUGAGACACGGCCCAGACUCCUACGGGAGGCAGCAGUGGGGAAUAUUGCACAAUGGGCGCAAGCCUGAUGCAGCGACGCCGCGUGAGGGAUGGAGGCCUUCGGGUUGUAAACCUCUUUCGCCAGUGAAGCAGGCCUGUCCCUUUUGUGGGUGGGUUGACGGUAGCUGGAUAAGAAGCGCCGGCUAACUACGUG
rnacentral:rRNA from 1 species